GGCGCAGUGAAUGCAAUGUGUGCUGACAAGUCUGAGUUAAUUGUGCUGUGGGAUGGAAAACCGCAAGGAUCUGGCAGAAAUUUUACAGACAAAAAAAGAUGAUGACGAUGUAAUGGGGCUGCUUAUCAGGCUGACCUUUCUUGAAAAAAAAUGCGAGAAAUACAGAAAAUCGAGUGUAGGAAGAGAAAACCACAGGAAGGACUUCAGACAAAGCAUCGCAGAGACAGACCACAGCCCUCCCUCUGUACAAAAGGCCAUCUUUUCUUGUCUCGCCGAAACAACUGUGAUCUGAUUUUGUGCAUGUGCUGUUAUUGGUGAGCAGAUGCCGUCAGGACGGAGGAAAUUCAUGCACAAAUAUAACACGACACAAGAAAACUGACAAAGAGAUCAAAUAGAAUUGUUUCACUGGAUGUAGGGAAAAGCAUUCAUUUUUUAAUAA